rnacentral:rRNA from 3 species
CCUACGGGAGGCAGCAGUGGGGAAUUUUGGACAAUGGGGGCAACCCUGAUCCAGCCAUGCCGCGUGCAGGAUGAAGGCCUUCGGGUUGUAAACUGCUUUUGUCAGGGACGAAAAGGACCGUGUUAAUACCAUGGUCUGCUGACGGUACCUGAAGAAUAAGCACCGGCUAACUACGUGCCAGCAGCCGCGGUAAUACGUAGGGUGCAAGCGUUAAUCGGAAUUACUGGGCGUAAAGCGUGCGCAGGCGGUUCUGUAAGACAGAUGUGAAAUCCCCGGGCU